CAGACCUGAGAAAGUUCUUGAAGAUUGUUUGGGUCAUCCUUGUAAGCAAACUGUUCGUGGAUGGAACUCUGGUGACGCGUCUGGGAUAUGAUAUCGAGGAUGGAAAGGAGUUGCGGCAGACAGCUGUCAGCGACCAGAGAAGCAGUUUGAAGGUUGUGGAAGACACAGCACCCAUGCCUCUACGAGAGAUUACCCAAGAUGUCUUGCAAACCCGCAUUCGAGAUAAAAACAAAGGGCAAAGUAUGAAGGUAGUGGAAGUCACACCACCCAUGUCUCUACGAGAGAUUGCCCAAGGCAUCUUGCAAUCCUGCUUCCGAGAUAAAAUCAAAGGGCAAAGUAUGAAGAUUGUGGAAGUCACACCACCCAUGUCUCUGCGAGAGAUUACCCAAGGCAUCUUGC